rnacentral:piRNA from 1 species
UGUCACGACAUUGAACUCAAGGCAGGUGU